rnacentral:rRNA from 1 species
ACUAAGCGUACACGGUGGAUGCCCUGGCAGUCAGAGGCGAUGAAGGACGUGCUAAUCUGCGAUAAGCGUCGGUAAGGUGAUAUGAACCGUUAUAACCGGCGAUUUCCGAAUGGGGAAACCCAGUGUGUUUCGACACACUAUCAUUAACUGAAUCCAUAGGUUAAUGAGGCGAACCGGGGGAACUGAAACAUCUAAGUACCCCGAGGAAAAGAAAUCAACCGAGAUUCCCCCAGUAGCGGCGAGCGAACGGGGAGCAGCCCAGAGCCUGAAUCAGUGUGUGUGUUAGUGGAAGCGUCUGGAAAGGCGCGCGAUACAGGGUGACAGCCCCGUACACAAAAAUGCACAUAUUGUGAGCUCGAUGAGUAGGGCGGGACACGUGGUAUCCUGUCUGAAUAUGGGGGGACCAUCCUCCAAGGCUAAAUACUCCUGACUGACCGAUAGUGAACCAGUACCGUGAGGGAAAGGCGAAAAGAACCCCGGCGAGGGGAGUGAAAAAGAACCUGAAACCGUGUACGUACAAGCAGUGGGAGCCUCUUUUAUGGGGUGACUGCGUACCUUUUGUAUAAUGGGUCAGCGACUUAUAUUCUGUAGCAAGGUUAACCGAAUAGGGGAGCCGAAGGGAAACCGAGUCUUAACUGGGCGUUAAGUUGCAGGGUAUAGACCCGAAACCCGGUGAUCUAGCCAUGGGCAGGUUGAAGGUUGGGUAACACUAACUGGAGGACCGAACCGACUAAUGUUGAAAAAUUAGCGGAUGACUUGUGGCUGGGGGUGAAAGGCCAAUCAAACCGGGAGAUAGCUGGUUCUCCCCGAAAGCUAUUUAGGUAGCGCCUCGUGAAUUCAUCUCCGGGGGUAGAGCACUGUUUCGGCAAGGGGGUCAUCCCGACUUACCAACCCGAUGCAAACUGCGAAUACCGGAGAAUGUUAUCACGGGAGACACACGGCGGGUGCUAACGUCCGUCGUGAAGAGGGAAACAACCCAGACCGCCAGCUAAGGUCCCAAAGUCAUGGUUAAGUGGGAAACGAUGUGGGAAGGCCCAGACAGCCAGGAUGUUGGCUUAGAAGCAGCCAUCAUUUAAAGAAAGCGUAAUAGCUCACUGGUCGAGUCGGCCUGCGCGGAAGAUGUAACGGGGCUAAACCAUGCACCGAAGCUGCGGCAGCGACACUAUGUGUUGUUGGGUAGGGGAGCGUUCUGUAAGCCUGUGAAGGUGUACUGUGAGGUAUGCUGGAGGUAUCAGAAGUGCGAAUGCUGACAUAAGUAACGAUAAAGCGGGUGAAAAGCCCGCUCGCCGGAAGACCAAGGGUUCCUGUCCAACGUUAAUCGGGGCAGGGUGAGUCGACCCCUAAGGCGAGGCCGAAAGGCGUAGUCGAUGGGAAACAGGUUAAUAUUCCUGUACUUGGUGUUACUGCGAAGGGGGGACGGAGAAGGCUAUGUUGGCCGGGCGACGGUUGUCCCGGUUUAAGCGUGUAGGCUGGUUUUCCAGGCAAAUCCGGAAAAUCAAGGCUGAGGCGUGAUGACGAGGCACUACGGUGCUGAAGCAACAAAUGCCCUGCUUCCAGGAAAAGCCUCUAAGCAUCAGGUAACAUCAAAUCGUACCCCAAACCGACACAGGUGGUCAGGUAGAGAAUACCAAGGCGCUUGAGAGAACUCGGGUGAAGGAACUAGGCAAAAUGGUGCCGUAACUUCGGGAGAAGGCACGCUGAUAUGUAGGUGAAGUCCCUCGCGGAUGGAGCUGAAAUCAGUCGAAGAUACCAGCUGGCUGCAACUGUUUAUUAAAAACACAGCACUGUGCAAACACGAAAGUGGACGUAUACGGUGUGACGCCUGCCCGGUGCCGGAAGGUUAAUUGAUGGGGUCAGCGCAAGCGAAGCUCUUGAUCGAAGCCCCGGUAAACGGCGGCCGUAACUAUAACGGUCCUAAGGUAGCGAAAUUCCUUGUCGGGUAAGUUCCGACCUGCACGAAUGGCGUAAUGAUGGCCAGGCUGUCUCCACCCGAGACUCAGUGAAAUUGAACUCGCUGUGAAGAUGCAGUGUACCCGCGGCAAGACGGAAAGACCCCGUGAACCUUUACUAUAGCUUGACACUGAACAUUGAGCCUUGAUGUGUAGGAUAGGUGGGAGGCUUUGAAGUGUGGACGCCAGUCUGCAUGGAGCCGACCUUGAAAUACCACCCUUUAAUGUUUGAUGUUCUAACGUGGACCCGUAAUCCGGGUUGCGGACAGUGUCUGGUGGGUAGUUUGACUGGGGCGGUCUCCUCCUAAAGAGUAACGGAGGAGCACGAAGGUUGGCUAAUCCUGGUCGGACAUCAGGAGGUUAGUGCAAUGGCAUAAGCCAGCUUGACUGCGAGCGUGACGGCGCGAGCAGGUGCGAAAGCAGGUCAUAGUGAUCCGGUGGUUCUGAAUGGAAGGGCCAUCGCUCAACGGAUAAAAGGUACUCCGGGGAUAACAGGCUGAUACCGCCCAAGAGUUCAUAUCGACGGCGGUGUUUGGCACCUCGAUGUCGGCUCAUCACAUCCUGGGGCUGAAGUAGGUCCCAAGGGUAUGGCUGUUCGCCAUUUAAAGUGGUACGCGAGCUGGGUUUAGAACGUCGUGAGACAGUUCGGUCCCUAUCUGCCGUGGGCGCUGGAGAACUGAGGGGGGCUGCUCCUAGUACGAGAGGACCGGAGUGGACGCAUCACUGGUGUUCGGGUUGUCAUGCCAAUGGCACUGCCCGGUAGCUAAAUGCGGAAGAGAUAAGUGCUGAAAGCAUCUAAGCACGAAACUUGCCCCGAGAUGAGUUCUCCCUGACUCCUUGAGAGUCCUGAAGGAACGUUGAAGACGACGACGUUGAUAGGCCGGGUGUGUAAGCGCAGCGAUGCGUUGAGCUAACCGGUACUAAUGAACCGUGAGGCUUAACC